UGCAGGAAACGCUGCAGCUUGCCAGCUUGAAGACAGUCAGAUUUUUAAGGCCUGACGGGACCAUUUUGAUCACAAAUGGUGACUUCCAGGAUAACGCAGGCCAGAGAGGCUCACUCGAUAAUUUCUGCAUCAAGCCCUAACUUCUGUUUGGGCUACAGCAGGUCUUCUAGAAAGACAUCGAGUCUUGACUGAAAGAGGUCAGGGCUAGAGAAUCCACCAUGACGUUGAUUGACUGGGAACUGAGUUCGGACCAAAGGGUUCCCGCCCUAUGGAAAAGCUAUACAAGGUGGGGAGCGACAUCAUCUUGUACCCUCACUCCCCCACAAGAGAACCCCUGGAAACACGUGAGGAACAAAGACUGGGAAGUGCUGGUCCCAGGCUAAAGGGAUUUCUAGCCUGUGUAUGGAAACUUGGGGCACUGCUUGUAUCAUCAGUCAGGGUGAGAAAUUGCUCAUUCAAAUCCCAUCCAGCUAACAGGUUAGACGUAGUUUGCAUUUUUAUUUGCUAAGUAAUCUGCUUUGAUCGGUUUGCUAUCCCUUAUCAUCACUUCAAAUCUAUCCUUUGUAGUUAAUAAACUUGUUUUAUGUUUUAUCUUUA